rnacentral:rRNA from 1 species
UCUGAUUCAGCGGCGGACGGGUGAGUAAUGCCUAGGAAUCUGCCUGGUAGUGGGGGACAACGUCUCGAAAGGGACGCUAAUACCGCAUACGUCCUACGGGAGAAAGCAGGGGACCUUCGGGCCUUGCGCUAUCAGAUGAGCCUAGGUCGGAUUAGCUAGUUGGUGAGGUAAUGGCUCACCAAGGCGACGAUCCGUAACUGGUCUGAGAGGAUGAUCAGUCACACUGGAACUGAGACACGGUCCAGACUCCUACGGGAGGCAGCAGUGGGGAAUAUUGGACAAUGGGCGAAAGCCUGAUCCAGCCAUGCCGCGUGUGUGAAGAAGGUCUUCGGAUUGUAAAGCACUUUAAGUUGGGAGGAAGGGCAGUAAGCGAAUACCUUGCUGUUUUGACGUUACCGACAGAAUAAGCACCGGCUAACUCUGUGCCAGCAGCCGCGGUAAUACAGAGGGUGCAAGCGUUAAUCGGAAUUACUGGGCGUAAAGCGCGCGUAGGUGGUUUGUUAAGUUGAAUGUGAAAUCCCCGGGCUCAACCUGGGAACUGCAUCCAAAACUGGCAAGCUAGAGUA